rnacentral:rRNA from 1 species
AUUGAACGCUGGCGGCAUGCCUUACACAUGCAAGUCGAACGGCAGCGACGGGGCGAACCCUGGUGGCGAGUGGCGAACGGGUGAGUAACACAUCGGAACGUACCCAGUUGUGGGGGAGUAACCAGUCGAAAGACGGGCUAAUACCGCAUGAUCUGGUGACAGCAAAGCGGGGGAUCGCAAGACCUCGCGCGAUUGGAGCGGCCGAUGUCCGAUUAGCAGUUGGUGGGGUAAAGGCCCACCAAGGCUUUGAUCGGUAGCUGGUCUGAGAGGAUGAUCAGCCACACUGGGACUGAGACACGGCCCAGACUCCUACGGGAGGCAGCAGUGGGGUAAUUUUGGACAAUGGGGGCAACCCUGAUCCAGCCAUG